rnacentral:rRNA from 1 species
AACGCGAAGAACCUUACCUAAGCUUGACAUCCUUUUGACCGAUGCCUAAUCGCAUCUUUCCCUUCGGGGACAGAAGUGACAGGUGGUGCAUGGUUGUUGUCAGCUCGUGUCGUGAGAUGUUGGGUUAAGUCCCGCAACGAGCGCAACCCUUGCCUUUAGUUGCCAGCAUUAAGUUGGGCACUCUAGAGGGACUGCCAGGGAUAACCUGGAGGAAGGUGGGGAUGACGUCAAAUCAUCAUGCCCCUUAUGCUUAGGGCUACACACGUGCUACAAUGGGUGGUACAAAGGGCAGCCAAGUCGUGAGGGGGAGCUAAUCCCUUAAACCCAUUCUCAGUUCGGAUUGUAGUCUGAAACUCGCCUACAUGAAGCUGGAGUUACUAGUAAUCGCAAAUCAAAAGGCUGCGGUAAAUGCUUUCCCGGGUCUUGUACACACCG